UGGAUAAAAGUUUGUUAUAGAUAUCUUUAUUAUUGAAUAAUCAGUAUAUAUUAUUGGAUAUUUGUUUCUUAUAUAAUUCCUUUUAUAGCCUGACCAGUUAUCUCUAGAGGGUCUAAACUCUCAAUUUUAUCCAGAAUGGGUUGCUUCAUGAGUCAUCGGCACCACCACCACCACCAUAACGAAUGACACUAAGUUUGCAGGUGAGAUACAACCUUGUGGUUGUUGAUAUCACAUGGUAUUCUCCUCAGGUGAUCAAAAGGUUGUUCCGUAGCCACAAGUUCUAUUUCUGUAGCGAUAUAUUUGUUUUACAACUAGAUGGUGUUUUUAUUGCAUAUGCUCAAUCGACAAGUUGUCAAAUCUGUAACUUUGUUCUCCCGUGUGGGUGGCUCGAGGAGAACCUGACAACUAGGAUGAAGCACUUUCAGUUCAGCUGCAAAUUACCCAAUGGAAGCUUGACUCGCAGCAGCAACAAAUGACUACAAUCCACCUUAAUGGAUCUGCAUUGGAGGGUUUGCCCAACGUUAUUUACUGCAUUGACCAGAAUGGUCGUUUUUAGUUUCGUAUGAGAUGAGUUUUCUCCAAAACCAUGUUCCAAGUUCACUCAUCGAGGCCCUCAAUGCAGAGUACUUGGCUUUCUUGAGCUAUGCUACUGUAGUUGAUCCAGUAUUGAUGGCCUUAUAGGCUGCUCAGUCUUUUGAAAGCACUCACCGAUGCUAUCACACGAGUUCUUAAGUUUUAGCAAAGAAAGUUCCUUCAGCUCCAUCAACCGAUGAAAUUCAUCUUCAAAAAGAGAAAUUAGAAAUCAAGCUCAAUGUGAUCAUAGAUUCUCAAGCAUGCCACUUAUUGAUGCAUAUACACAAGCUCUUCAAAUCUUCGAUGUAUGUCCCAAGAUUGGAAGGCACAAUUAAGGCUCCCACCAAUGGACACUCGAUAGAGAACAAAGGGUAUUGGAAAAUCAGCGGUCUGCUGCAAGGUCAAAGGAAAGAAAAAUGAGAUACAUUGGCGAGCUUGAAAUCGCCAAUGUGCUCUGGUUAGUUGUUAUCUGCCUUUCAUGUCUCUGUUACUGUUAGUUGUGGUCUGCGAUUUAAAUUCUUUUGGUCUUUUGAAGUUGUUAGGAUUUGUUUAAGUUCGGAUCUUGAUUUGCCUAAUGUGGUGAAGUACAAAUGGAAACUUGCAUUUAUAUAACAUAUAUUAUGGCAAUACUUAUCUGA